GGGAAUUUUGCGCAAUGGGCGAAAGCCUGACGCAGCAACGCCGCGUGGAGGAUGAAGGUCCUUGGAUUGUAAACUCCUGUCAGCAGGGAAGAAAUGCGCCGACCUAAUACGUCGGCGAGUUGACUGUACCUGCAGAGGAAGCCCCGGCUAACUCUGUGCCAGCAGCCGCGGUAAUACAGAGGGGGCAAGCGUUAUUCGGAAUUAUUGGGCGUAAAGGGCGCGUAGGCGGCCAGGCAAGUGGAAGGUGAAAUCCCUCGGCUCAACCGAGGAACUGCCCUCCAAACUGCCGAGCUCGAGUCCGGGAGAGGUGAGUGGAAUUCCCAGUGUAGCGGUGAAAUGCGUAGAUAUUGGGAGGAACACCAGUGGCGAAGGCGGCUCACUGGACCGGAACUGACGCUGAGGCGCGAAAGCGUGGGGAGCAAA
rnacentral:rRNA from 1 species